AUAGCACUCUUUUACUGUGAAACUGCGAAUGGCUCAUUAAAUCAGUUAUCGUUUAUUUGAUAGUACCCUACUACAUGGAUACCUGUGGUAAUUCUAGAGCUAAUACAUGCGCAAAACCCCGACUUCGGAAGGGGUGUAUUUAUUAGAUAAAAAACCAAUGCCCUUCGGGGCUCCUUGGUGAUUCAUAAUAACUUCACGAAUCGCAUGGCCUUGCGCCGGCGAUGGUUCAUUCAAAUUUCUGCCCUAUCAACUUUCGAUGGUAGGAUAGUGGCCUACCAUGGUGGCAACGGGUAACGGGGAAUUAGGGUUCGAUUCCGGAGAGGGAGCCUGAGAAACGGCUACCACAUCCAAGGAAGGCAGCAGGCGCGCAAAUUACCCAAUCCCGAUACGGGGAGGUAGUGACAAUAAAUACUGAUACAGGGCUCUUUUGGGUCUUGUAAUUGGAAUGAGAACAAUCUAAAUCCCUUAACGAGGAACAAUUGGAGGGCAAGUCUGGUGCCAGCAGCCGCGGUAAUUCCAGCUCCAAUAGCGUAUAUUAAAGUUGUUGCAGUUAAAAAGCUCGUAGUUGAACCUUGGGCCCGUCCUGCCGGUCCGCCUCACCGCGAGUACUGGUCCGGAUGGGCCUUUCUUUCUGGGGAAUCCCAUGGCCUUCACUGGCUGUGGCGGGGAACCAGGACUUUUACUGUGAAAAAAUUAGAGUGUUCAAAGCAGGCCUUUGCUCGGAUACAUUAGCAUGGAAUAAUAGAAUAGGACGUGCGGUUCUAUUUUGUUGGUUUCUAGGACCGCCGUAAUGAUUAAUAGGGAUAGUCGGGGGCGUCAGUAUUCAGCUGUCAGAGGUGAAAUUCUUGGAUUUGCUGAAGACUAACUACUGCGAAAGCAUUCGCCAAGGAUGUUUUCAUUAAUCAGGGAACGAAAGUUAGGGGAUCGAAGACGAUCAGAUACCGUCGUAGUCUUAACCAUAAACUAUGCCGACUAGGGAUCGGGCGGGGUUUCUAUGAUGACCCGCUCGGCACCUUACGAGAAAUCAAAGUUUUUGG
rnacentral:rRNA from 1 species